AACGAACGCUGGCGGCAGGCCUAACACAUGCAAGUCGAGCGAACCCUUCGGGGUUAGCGGCGGACGGGUGAGUAACGCGUGGGAACGUGCCCUUUGCUACGGAAUAGCCCCGGGAAACUGGGAGUAAUACCGUAUGUGCCCUUCGGGGGAAAGAUUUAUCGGCAAAGGAUCGGCCCGCGUUGGAUUAGGUAGUUGGUGGGGUAAUGGCCUACCAAGCCGACGAUCCAUAGCUGGUUUGAGAGGAUGAUCAGCCACACUGGGACUGAGACACGGCCCAGACUCCUACGGGAGGCAGCAGUGGGGAAUCUUAGACAAUGGGCGCAAGCCUGAUCUAGCCAUGCCGCGUGAUCGAUGAAGGCCUUAGGGUUGUAAAGAUCUUUCAGUGGGGAAGAUAAUGACUGUACCCACAGAAGAAGCCCGGCUAACUCCGUGCCAGCAGCCGCGGUAAUGUACAGU
rnacentral:rRNA from 1 species